rnacentral:tRNA from 1 species
UGCGGGAUGGAGCAGUGGUAGCUCGUCGGGCUCAUAACCCGAAGGUCAUAGGUUCGAGUCCUAUUCCCGCUA